rnacentral:misc_RNA from 1 species
GAUGAAGAACGUAGCGAAAUGCGAUAAGUAAUGUGAAUUGCAGAAUUCAGUGAAUCAUCGAAUCUUUGAACGCACAUUGCGCCCGCCAGUAUUCUGGCGGGCAUGCCUGUUCGAGCGUCAUUACAACCCUCAGGCCCCCGGGCCUGGCGUUGGGGAUCGGCGAGGCGCCCCCCGCGGGCACGCGCCGUCCCCCAAAUACAGUGGCGGUCCCGCCGCAGCUUCCAUUGCGUAGUAGCUAACACCUCGCAACUGGAGAGCGGCGCGGCCAUGCCGUAAAACACCCAACUUCUGAAUGUUGACCUCGAAUCAGGUAGGAAUACCCGCUGAACUUAAGCAUAUCAAUAAGCUGAGGA